CCUACGGGAGGCAGCAGUGAGGAAUAUUGGUCAAUGGCCGGAAGGCUGAACCAGCCAUGCCGCGUGAAGGUCAGUGCCCUAUGGGCGUUAAACUUCUUUUGUGCGGGAGCAAUAAUGGUCACGUGUGGCCAGACGAGAGUUCCGUACGAAUAAGCAUCGGGUAACUGCGUGCCAGCAGCCGCGGUGAUACGGGGGAUGCAAGCGUUAUCCGGGUUUAUUGGGGUUAAAGGGUGCGUAGGCGGGGAGGUAAGUCAGCGGUGAAAUGCCCCCGCUCAACGGGGUGAAGUGCAAUUGAUACUGCCUGGCUGGAGUGCGGAUGCGGUGGGAGGAAUGUGUGGUGUAGCGGUGAAAUGCAUAGAUAUCACACAGAACACCGAUUGCGAAGGCAUCUCACGAAUCCGCGAUUGACGCUGAUGCACGAAGGCGUGGGUAUCAAACAGGAGUAGAUACCCGAGUAGUC
rnacentral:rRNA from 1 species